GCUGCUCGAAUCUUUGUACACCUCUCUGUGGUGAGCAUUAGGCAACACAGGAUGAAUACUGUGGCUAAGAUACAUAG
rnacentral:ribozyme from 1 species